UUGAACGCUGGCGGCAUGCUUUACACAUGCAAGUCGAACGCGAAAGGGGGCAACCCCGAGUAGAGUGGCGAACGGGUGAGUAAUGCAUCGGAACGUGUCCUGUUGUGGGGGACAACCCCGAGAAAUCGGGGCUAAUACCGCAUACGUCCUAUGGGAGAAAGUGGGGGACCGCAAGGCCUCACGCUAUAGGGGCGGCCGAUGCCGGAUUAGCUAGUUGGUGGGGUAAAGGCUCACCAAGGCGACGAUCCGUAGCUGGUCUGAGAGGAUGAUCAGCCACACUGGGACUGAGACACGGCCCAGCCUCCUACGGGAGGCAGCAGUGGGGAAUUUUGGACAAUGGGCGAAAGCCUGAUCCAGCCAUGCCGCGUGAGUGAAGAAGGCCUUCGGGUUGUAAAGCUCUUUCGGCCGGGACGAAAUCGCCCUCCGUAACAUGGAGGGUGGAUGACGGUACCGGAAGAAGAAGGACCGGCUAACUACGU
rnacentral:rRNA from 1 species